CGCGGUGGAUUUCGAACAGACCCGUUAGGGACCAUGAGAACAAAAGAAACUCGACCGCAUGAACUCGCUUUUGCAUGACUGGGAUGUGUCUUGGCUAAUGUGUCUUGGCUAAUGUGUCUUGGCUAAUGUGUUUUGGCUAAUGUGUCUUGGCUAAGGUGUCUUGGCUAAUGUGUCUUGGCUAAUGUGUCUUGGCUAAUUUGUCUUGGCUAAGGUGUCUUGGCUAAUGUGUCUUGGCUAAUGUGUCUUGGCUAAUGUGUCUUGGCUAAUGUGUCUUGGCUAAUGUGUCUUGGCUAAGGUGUUUUGGCUAAUGUGUCUUGGCUAAUGUGUCUUGGCUAAUGUGUCUUGGCUAAUGUGUCUUGGCUAAGGUGUCUUGGCUAAUGUGUCUUGGCUAAUGUGUCUUGGCUAAGGUGUCUUGGCUAAGGUGUCUCGGCUAAUGUUUCUUGGCUAAUGUGUCUUGGCUAAGGUGUCUUGGCUAAGGUGUCUUGACUAAUGUGUCUUGGCUAAGGUGUCUUGGCUAAGGUGUCUUGGCUAAUGUGUCUUGGCUAAUGUGUCUUGGCUAAUGUGUCUUGGCUAAGGUGUCUUGGCUAAUGUGUCUUGGCUAAGGUGUCUUGGCUAAUGUGUCUCGGCUAAUGUGUCUUGGCUAAGGUGUCUCGGCUAAGGUGUCUUGGCUAAGGUGUCUUGGCUAAUGUGUCUUGGCUAAUGUGUCUUGGCUAAGGUGUCUUGGCUAAUGUGUCUCGGCUAAUGUGUCUUGGCUAAGGUGUCUUGGCUAAGGUGUCUUGGCUAAGGUGUCUUGGCUAAUGUGUCUUGGCUAAUGUGUCUUGGCUAAGGUGUCUUGGCUAAUGUGUCUUGGCUAAUGUGCCUUGGCUAAGGUGUCUUGGCUAAGGUGUCUUGGCUAAUGUGUCUUGGCUAAUGUGUCUUGGCUAAGGUGUCUUGGCUAAUGUGUCUUGGCUAAUGUGUCUUGGCUAAGGUGUCUUGGCUAAGGUGUCUCGGCUAAUGUUUCUUGGCUAAUGUGUCUUGGCUAAGGUGUCUUGGCUAAUGUGUCUUGGCUAAUGUGUCUUGGCUAAGGUGUCUUGGCUAAUGUGUCUCGGCUAAUGUGUCUUGGCUAAGGUGUCUUGGCUAAGGUGUCUUGGCUAAGGUGUCUUGGCUAAUGUGUCUUGGCUAAUGUGUCUUGGCUAAGGUGUCUUGGCUAAUGUGUCUUGGCUAAUGUGCCUUGGCUAAUGUGUCUUGGCUAAGGUGUCUUGGCUAAUGUGUCUUGGCUAAGGUGUCUUGGCUAAUGUGUCUUGGCUAAUGUGUCUUGGCUAAUUUGUCUUGGCUAAUGUGUCUUGGCUAAUGUGUCUUGGCUAAUGUGUCUUGGCUAAGGUGUCUUGGCUAAUGUGUCUUGGCUAAUGUGUCUUGGCUAAUUUGUCUUGGCUAAGGUGUCUUGGCUAAUGUGUCUUGGCUAAUGUGUCUUGGCUAAUGUGUCUUGGCUAAUGUGUCUUGGCUAAUGUGUCUUGGCUAAGGUGUCUUGGCUAAUGUGUCUUGGCUAAUGUGUCUUGGCUAAUUUGUCUUGGCUAAGGUGUCUUGGCUAAUGUGUCUUGGCUAAUGUGUCUUGGCUAAUGUGUCUUGGCUAAUGUGUCUUGGCUAAUGUGUCUUGGCUAAGGUGUUUUGGCUAAUGUGUCUUGGCUAAUGUGUCUUGGCUAAUGUGUCUUGGCUAAUGUGUCUUGGCUAAGGUGUCUUGGCUAAUGUGUCUUGGCUAAUGUGUCUUGGCUAAGGUGUCUUGGCUAAGGUGUCUUGGCUAAUGUGUCUUGGCUAAUGUGUCUUGGCUAAUGUGUCUUGGCUAAGGUGUCUUGGCUAAUGUGUCUUGGCUAAUGUGUCUUGGCUAAGGUGUCUUGGCUAAGGUGUCUCGGCUAAUGUUUCUUGGCUAAUGUGUCUUGGCUAAGGUGUCUUGGCUAAGGUGUCUUGACUAAUGUGUCUUGGCUAAGGUGUCUUGGCUAAGGUGUCUUGGCUAAUGUGUCUUGGCUAAUGUGUCUUGGCUAAUGUGUCUUGGCUAAGGUGUCUUGGCUAAUGUGUCUUGGCUAAGGUGUCUUGGCUAAUGUGUCUCGGCUAAUGUGUCUUGGCUAAGGUGUCUUGGCUAAGGUGUCUUGGCUAAGGUGUCUUGGCUAAUGUGUCUUGGCUAAUGUGUCUUGGCUAAGGUGUCUUGGCUAAUGUGUCUUGGCUAAUGUGCCUUGGCUAAGGUGUCUUGGCUAAGGUGUCUUGGCUAAUGUGUCUUGGCUAAUGUGUCUUGGCUAAGGUGUCUUGGCUAAUGUGUCUUGGCUAAUGUGUCUUGGCUAAGGUGUCUUGGCUAAGGUGUCUCGGCUAAUGUUUCUUGGCUAAUGUGUCUUGGCUAAGGUGUCUUGGCUAAUGUGUCUUGGCUAAUGUGUCUUGGCUAAGGUGUCUUGGCUAAUGUGUCUCGGCUAAUGUGUCUUGGCUAAGGUGUCUUGGCUAAGGUGUCUUGGCUAAGGUGUCUUGGCUAAUGUGUCUUGGCUAAUGUGUCUUGGCUAAGGUGUCUUGGCUAAUGUGUCUUGGCUAAUGUGCCUUGGCUAAUGUGUCUUGGCUAAGGUGUCUUGGCUAAUGUGUCUUGGCUAAUGUGUCUUGGCUAAGGUGUCUUGGCUAAUGUGUCUUGGCUAAUGUGUCUUGGCUAAGGUGUCUUGGCUAAGGUGUCUCGGCUAAUGUUUCUUGGCUAAUGUGUCUUGGCUAAGGUGUCUUGGCUAAUGUGUCUUGGCUAAUGUGUCUUGGCUAAGGUGUCUUGGCUAAUGUGUCUUGGCUAAUGUGUCUUGGCUAAUGUGUCUUGGCUAAUGUGUCUUGGCUAAGGUGUCUUGGCUAAUGUGUCUUGGCUAAGGUGUCUUGGCUAAUGUGUCUCGGCUAAUGUGUCUUGGCUAAGGUGUCUUGGCUAAGGUGUCUUGGCUAAGGUGUCUUGGCUAAUGUGUCUUGGCUAAUGUGUCUUGGCUAAGGUGUCUUGGCUAAUGUGUCUUGGCUAAUGUGUCUUGGCUAAUGUGUCUUGGCUAAGGUGUCUUGGCUAAUGUGUCUUGGCUAAUGUGUCUUGACUAAUGUGUCUUGGCUAAGGUGUCUUGGCUAAUGUGUCUUGGCUAAUGUGUCUUGGCUAAUGUGUCUUGGCUAAUGUGUCUUGGCUAAGGUGUCUUGGCUAAUGUGUCUUGGCUAAGGUGUCUUGGCUAAUGUGUCUCGGCUAAUGUGUCUUGGCUAAGGUGUCUUGGCUAAGGUGUCUUGGCUAAUGUGUCUUGGCUAAUGUGUCUUGGCUAAUGUGCCUUGGCUAAUGUGUCUUGGCUAAGGUGUCUUGGCUAAUGUGUCUUGGCUUAUGUGUCUUGGCUAAUGUGUCUUGGCUAAUGUGUCUUGGCUAAUGUGUGUUGGCUAAGGUGUCUUGGCUAAGGUGUCUUGGCUAAUGUGUCUUGGCUAAUGUGUCUUGGCUAAUGUGUCUUGGCUAAUGUGUCUUGGCUAAGGUGUCUUGGCUAAGGUGUCUUGGCUAAUGUGUCUUGGCUAAUGUGUCUUGACUAAUGUGUCUUGGCUAAGGUGUCUUGGCUAAUGUGUCUUGGCUAAUGUGUCUUGGCUAAUGUGUCUUGGCUAAUGUGUCUUGGCUAAGGUGUCUUGGCUAAUGUGUCUUGGCUAAGGUGUCUUGGCUAAUGUGUCUCGGCUAAUGUGUCUUGGCUAAGGUGUCUUGGCUAAGGUGUCUUGGCUAAUGUGUCUUGGCUAAUGUGUCUUGGCUAAUGUGCCUUGGCUAAUGUGUCUUGGCUAAGGUGUCUUGGCUAAUGUGUCUUGGCUUAUGUGUCUUGGCUAAUGUGUCUUGGCUAAUGUGUCUUGGCUAAUGUGUGUUGGCUAAGGUGUCUUGGCUAAGGUGUCUUGGCUAAUGUGUCUCGGCUAAUGUGUCUUGGCUAAUGUGUCUUGGCUAAUGUGUCUUGGCUAAGGUGUCUUGGCUAAGGUGUCUUGGCUAAUGUGUCUUGGCUGAGGUGUCUUGGCUAAUGUGUCUUGGCUAAUGUGUCUUGGCUAAUGUGUCUUGGCUAAGGUGUCUUGGCUAAUGUGUCUUGGCUAAUGUGUGUUGGCUAAGGUGUCUUGGCUAAUGUGUCUUGGCUAAUGUGUCUUGGCUAAGGUGUCUUAGCUAAGGUGUCUUGGCUAAGGUGUCUUGGCUAAGGUGUCUUGGCUAAUGUGUCUUGGCUAAUGUGUCUUGGCUAAGGUGUCUUGGCUAAUGUGUCUUGGCUAAUGUGUCUUGGCUAAUGUGUCUUGGCUAAGGUGUCUUGGCUAAGGUGUCUUGGCUAAGGUGUCUUGGCUAAGGUGUCUUGGCUAAUGUGGCUUGGCUAAUGUGUCUUGGCUAAGGUGUCUUGGCUAAUGUGUCUUGGCUAAUGUGUCUUGGCUAAGGUGUCUUGGCUAAUGUGUCUUGGCUAAUGUGUCUUGGCUAAUGUGUCUUGGCUAAUGUGUCUUGGCUAAGGUGUCUUGGCUAAGGUGUCUUGGCUAAUGUGUCUUGGCUAAUGUGUCUUGGCUAAGGUGUCUUGGCUAAGGUGUCUUGGCUAAGGUGUCUUGGCUAAUGUGUCUCGGCUAAUGUGUCUUGGCUAAUGUGUCUUGGCUAAUGUGUCUUGGCUAAGGUGUCUUGGCUAAUGUGUCUUGGCUAAUGUGUCUUGGCUAAUGUGUCUUGGCUAAUGUGUCUUGGCUAAGGUGUCUUGGCUAAGGUGUCUUGGCUAAUGUGUCUUGGCUGAUGUGUCGUGGCUGAUGUGUCUUGGCUAAUGUGUCUUGGCUAAGGUGUCUUGGCUAAGGUGUCUUGGCUAAUGUGUCUUGGCUAAGGUGUCUUGGCUAAUGUGUCUCGGCUAAUGUGUUUUGGCUAAGGUGUCUUGGCUAAUGUGUCUUGGCUAAUGUGCCUUGGCUAAUGUGUCUUGGCUAAGGUGUCUUGGCUAAUGUGUCUUGGCUAAGGUGUCUUGGCUAAUGUGUCUUGGCUAAUGUGUCUUGGCUAAUGUGUCUUGGCUAAGGUGUCUUGGCUAAGGUGUCUUGGCUAAGGUGUCUUGGCUAAGAUGUCUUGGCUAAUGUGUCUUGGCUAAUGUGUCUUGGCUAAUGUGUCUUGGCUAAUGUGUCUUGGCUAAGGUGUCUUGGCUAAUGUGUCUUUGCUGAGGUGUCUUGGCUAAGGUGUCUUGGCUAAUGUGUCUUGGCUAAUGUGUGUUGGCUAAGGUGUCUUGGCUAAUGUGUCUUGGCUAAUGUGUCUUGGCUAAGGUGUCUUAGCUAAGGUGUCUUGGCUAAGGUGUCUUAGCUAAGGUGUCUUGGCUAAUGUGUCUUGGCUAAUGUGUCUUGGCUAAUGUGUCUUGGCUAAGGUGUCUUGGCUAAGAUGUCUUGGCUAAUGUGUCUUGGCUGAUGUGUCUUGGCUAAUGUGUCUUGGCUAAUGUGUCUUGGCUAAGGUGUCUUGGCUAAGGUGUCUUGGCUAAUGUGUCUUGGCUAAUGUGGCAUGGCUAAUGUGUCUUGGCUAAGGUGUCUUGGCUAAUGUGUCUUGGCUAAUGUGUCUUGGCUAAGGUGUCUUGGCUAAUGUGUCUUGGCUAAUGUGUCUUGGCUAAUGUGUCUUGGCUAAGGUGUCUUGGCUAAGGUGUCUUGGCUAAGGUGUCUUGGCUAAGGUGUCUUGGCUAAUGUGUCUCGGCUAAUGUGUCUUUUCUAAUGUGUCUCGGCUAAUGUGUCUUGGCUAAGGUGUCUUGGCUAAGGUGUCUUGGCUAAGGUGUCUUGGCUAAUGUGUCUUGGCUAAUGUGUCUUGGCUAAUGUGUCUUGGCUAAUGUGUCUUGGCUAAUGUGCCUUGGCUAAUGUGUCUUGGCUAAGGUGUCUUGGCUAAUGUGUCUUGGCUAAUGUGUCAUGGCUAAGGUGUCUUGGCUAAGGUUUCUUGGCUAAGGUGUCUUGGCUAAUGUGUCUUGGCUAAGGUGUCUUGGCUAAUGUGUCUUGGCUAAUGUGUCUUGGCUAAUGUGUCUUGGCUAAUGUGUCUUGGCUAAUGUGUCUUGGCUAAGGUGUCUUGGCUAAGGUGUCUUGGCUAAGGUGUCUUGGCUAAGGUGUCUUGGCUAAUGUGUCUUGGCUAAUGUGUCUUGGCUAAUGUGUCUUGGCUAAUGUGUCUUGGCUAAGGUGUCUUGGCUAAUGUGUCUUGGCUAAUGUGUCUUGGCUAAUGUGUCUAGGCUAAUGUGUCUUGGCUAAUGUGUCAUGGCUAAGGUGUCUUGGCUAAGGUGUCUUGGCUAAUGUGUCUUGGCUAAUGUGUCUUGGCUAAUGUGUCUUGGCUAAGGUGUCUUGGCUAAGGUGUCUUGGCUAAGGUGUCUUGGCUAAUGUGUCUUGGCUAAUGUGUCUUGGCUAAUGUGUCUUGGCUAAUGUGUCUUGGCUAAGGUGUCUUGGCUAAUGUGUCUUGGCUAAUGUGUCUUGGCUAAGGUGUCUUGGCUAAGGUGUCUCGGCUAAUGUGUCUUGGCUAAUGUGUCUUGGCUAAGGUGUCUUGGCUAAGGUGUCUUGGCUAAGGUGUCUUGGCUAAGGUGUCUUGGCUAAGGUGUCUUGGCUAAUGUGUCUUGGCUAAUGUGUCUUGGCUAAUGUGUCUUGGCUAAGGUGUCUUGGCUAAGGUGUCUUGGCUAAGGUGUCUUGGCUAAGGUGUCUUGGCUAAGGUGUCUUGGCUAAGGUGUCUUGGCUAAUGUGUCUCGGCUAAAGUGUCUUGGCUAAGGUGUCUUGGCUAAGGUGUCUUGGCUAAGGUGUCUUGGCUAAGGUGUCUUGGCUAAUGUGUCUCGGCUAAAGUGUCUUGGCUAAGGUGUCUUGGCUAAGGUGUCUUGGCUAAGGUGUCUUGGCUAAGGUGUCUUGGCUAAGGUUUCUUGGCUAAAGUGUCUUGGCUAAUGUGUCUUGGCUAAGGUGUCUUGGCUAAGGUGUCUUGGCUAAAGUGUCUUGGCUAAUGUGUCUUGGCUAAGGUGUCUUGGCUAAGGUGUCUUGGCUAAAGUGUCUUGGCUAAUGUGUCUUGGCUAAGGUGUCUUGGCUAAUGUGUCUUGGCUAAGGUGUCUUGGCUAAUGUGUCUUGGCUAAGGUGUCUUGGCUAAUGUGUCUCGGCUAAAGUGUC